rnacentral:rRNA from 1 species
UACGUAGGGUGCGAGCGUUAAUCGGAAUUACUGGGCGUAAAGAGUGCGUAGGCGGUUCGUUAAGUCAGCUGUGAAAGCCCCGGGCUCAACCUGGGAACUGCGUUUGAAACUACAGGACUAGAAUAUGUCAGAGGGGGGUAGAAUUCCACGUGUAGCAGUGAAAUGCGUAGAGAUGUGGAGGAAUACCAAUGGCGAAGGCAGCCCCCCUGGGGAUAAUAUUGACGCUCAUGCA